GACGAACGCUGGCGGCGCGCCUAACACAUGCAAGUCGAACGAGCGAGAGAGAGCUUGCUUUCUUGAGCGAGUGGCGAACGGGUGAGUAACGCGUGAGGAACCUGCCUCAAAGAGGGGGACAACAGUUGGAAACGACUGCUAAUACCGCAUAAGCCCACGGUGCCGCAUGGCACAGAGGGAAAAGGAGCAAUCCGCUUUGAGAUGGCCUCGCGUCCGAUUAGCUAGUUGGUGAGGUAACGGCCCACCAAGGCGACGAUCGGUAGCCGGACUGAGAGGUUGAACGGCCACAUUGGGACUGAGACACGGCCCAGACUCCUACGGGAGGCAGCAGUGGGGAAUAUUGCACAAUGGGGGAAACCCUGAUGCAGCGACGCCGCGUGGAGGAAGAAGGUCUUCGGAUUGUAAACUCCUGUUGUUGGGGAAGAUAAUGACGGUACCCAACAAGGAAGUGACGGCUAAUUACGUG
rnacentral:rRNA from 1 species